AAGUCGUAACAAGGUUUCCGUAGGUAAACCUGCGGAAGGAUCAUUAACACGUAUCCACGUUAAUCCACCUGCUUAACAUUCCUUCUCGCGUUGUGGAUCCGUUAACCCAACCGGCAAAACUCGCCAAAUAACGGCUUCCGUUGGAAGCUAGAACGAAACCCGAACAACUGUGAACAAUGGCUAUCUUGGCUCUU
rnacentral:misc_RNA from 1 species